ACAGACUCAGAGGCGUCUAACGAUCAGGAGAAGAAGCGGGACGUCGAGGCUCUGUUGGAAAUCAUGGGGGACCUGUAUCCAGAUUUUGCAUCAGCGCUGAAGGCUAUGCGUGGGACUGCCUUAGAGCGAGGGGAGCCGUCGAGGGAUCAGGGGGAGAUGGCCGAGCUCGACCAACCUACGUCCACAGCUGUGGCAGCAGAUCUCUUGCCACGAGAUGGAGACUAGAUUUAUGAUUGUGCUUUUAUUUUCCCGUAAAACUUGCAUAUUACAAAUUACUAGGGAUUAACCCGGGCUACGCCCGGGAUUUUUAUUUUUUUCUAAUUGAAGUUGUUAAAUUAUUUAUAUUUAGGCUAUGAUUUAUAUUUAUAUAAAUGUUAAAAUGCAUGUCAUAAUUAAAAUUUAUUUUUAAAUUUUAACACGUUAAAUUAACAUAUUUUUUACUAUUUAAAUAUUUUUUUGUAAUUUUAUUGGCUAUCUAGUUAUCAUAUUUAACAAAACUAUCUUUUGAGUGUUGGAAUAAAUGUUUUAGAGAUUUUAUUAAACUGCAGAGUAUUUUUGGAUCGACCAUAUGCUCAACAUUCGAUCGAUCCGUAAAAUGAUGGUCGAUCUCCUUGGCCAAGUAAGUACAAUUUUAGCAAAAAUAUCUUUUAUUUUCAAAUAUUAAGUAUAUAACUAUUCUUUUUAAUAUUUUUUAAUUGUAUUUUUGAUUAAAUUAUUGUAUUAUAAUGGUUAUGUAAAUAUUUUUUGUGAUGUUUGAAUUUUUGUUGUUCGUAUACUUAACCUAGAUGAUAUUGAUGUUUAACAAUUUAUUGUUUUCUGGAAAUAGAAAAUAAUGAUAUAUCAAAACGUAUCUAAUACUUGUUAAAUGAUAUUAUAAUGUAAAUUACAUCUAUUAUUUGAAAAUAAACAUUUGUUGUUUUUAUUUUUAUUUUAAAUCAGAAAUUAUUUUUAUUUAAAAACAUUAUUCAUAUAUAAUAUAAUAGUUUAAGUUUGGAAGAUUAAUCUAAAUAUAUAAAUUAUGUAUAUUUUUUAAAAAAUAAUUUAAGAUAUUAUAUAUUGAGUAUCUGAAUAAAAUCUGAAUUUCUUAUCUUGAAAAUCAGAUAUUUAUAUUUUUGUCUUCAUGUUAUACUCACCAGUCCAUCAUUGAUAUUUAUAACUCAGUACGUUUUUUUAAAAACUUAGUUUUAAGUAAUAAACGAAUUUAAUAAAUUAAAUUCAUCACCUAUAAUGUUCUGUAAACUAUAUUUGAAAAGUCUCUAAAAUUAUAUUUUAAGCAUAAUAUUAUUAUUAUUUAAUUUAAGUUAUUUUAAACAUAAUAUAUGCUAAACCAACUUAAAUUAUAUUUACAAUAGGACCAUCCUAAACCGGUUAGUAAACCAAAAACAAUACUAAACCAAUAUGAACCAAUACUUGAUUCGGCGAGGAAGGAAGUGUUUCGGGAUAAACGUUUGAAUGGUUAUUAACUGAAAUGGUUUGAUCAUGAAAGAGUUAGUAUGAAUAUUAACAAUAAAAUUAUGGAUUAAAUUAAUUUAAAUUUGUAAGAAUACCUUUGAGUCUAUGAAAAACAAUUCAAUUCCCAUGAAUAAGUUUGGCUUUUGGAAGUUGGAGGUUUCCCAACAAUGAAUCCACAUAACAAAAAGUUUGUUGUUAUAAAAAAAUCUCAUUCAAGGUCAUUAAAGGUUUUUGGGACGGCAAGAGUUGAUAGUGAAACCAUUUUUUUGCUCGAGUGCUUUGAAAUUUUCCUUAAUAGUGUGAGAUUGAUGUGGAUGGAAUAAUGAGUUUUAUAGGGACUUUUUUGAUGUAAAACUAUACAUUUUUUUUUGUUUAAUGUGGUAUUUCUAUUUUUUAUAUAAUUUACUACCAUUUUAAGAUAGAAGUACAUUUUAAGAUAGAUGCUUAAAUCUUAAUGUACUUUUUCCAUUUUUUAAAAUAUUAUUUCCAUUUCUUAUAUUUUUAUUUACGUAAUAUCUAUAUUUUAUAUUUUUAAAUAGAUAUUUAAAUAUUAAUGUACUUUUUCCAUUUUUUAAUUGUGUAUUUACUUAUAUUAUAUAUUUUACAUUUUAAGAUAGAUGUUUAAUGCUUGAUGAACUUUUUCCAUUUUUAAAAAAAUUGUGUAUUUACUUAUUAUUACAUAUAUAAUUCAUAUAUUAUAUAUUUACAUUAUUUACUUAUUAUUUAUUUUUCUGUAUAUGUAUUUCCAUUUCUUGUACUUUUAAUUUACUUAAUAUCUCUAUUUUACAUUUUAAGAUAGAUGUUUAAAUCUUAAUGUACGUUUUCCAUUUUUUUAAAUUGUAUAUUUCCAUUUGUUAUACUUUCUAUUUACGUAAUAUCUAUAUUUUAAAUUUUAAUAUAUAUUUUUAAAUCUUAAUGUAAUUUCCCAUUUUUUAAAUUUGGUAUUCACUUAUAUUAUAUAUUUACUUAUUAUUUAUUUUUCUUUAUAUUGUGUAUUUCUAUUUCCUAUAAUUUCUAUUUACUAAUAAUUUUAUAUUUUAAGAUUGAUUUACAUUUUAAGAUAGAUGUUUAAAUACUAAUGUAUUUUUUCCAUUUUUUUUAAAUUGUGUAUUUCCUUUUCUUAUACUUUCUAUUUACUUAAUAUCUAUAUUUUACAUUUUAAGAUAGAUGUUUAAUAUUUAAUGUACUCUUUCCAUUUUUUAAAAAUUGUGCAUUUACUUAUUAUUGUAAAUAUAAUUCGUAUAUUUAUAUAUUUAUAAUAUUUACUUAUUAUUUAUUUUUCUAUAUAUUGAGUAUUUCUCUUUCUUAUACUUUAUAUUUAGUUAAUGUCUAUAUUUUAUAUUUUAAGAUAGAUGUUUAAAUCUUUGCGUAUUUUUCCAUUUUUAAUGUAAAACGGCAAUGUUUAAUAGAAGAACGUGGAUAAAUAGUCAAAUAGUUAUAUUUAUGUUUUUUUUUUCUUUUUUUAAUAAAAUUGUAAUGUUACAUUAUGAAGAUAACCCGUUUUUUUAGUGAACAAUGGUAAUCUUACAUAUGUUUAAUGUAGUUUUUCCAUUUUUUUAUGUUGUAUGUUUACAUAUUAUUUUUAUUUUUAAAUGUAAAAUGGUAAUUUUACAUAUGUUUAAUGUAGUAUUUCCAUUUUUUAUGGUGUAUGUUUACAUAUUAUUUAUUAUUUUCGAAAUUAUAUAUAAUUUUCUUUUUUGUUUAAUGUAGUUUUUUCAUUUUUUAUGUUGUAUGUUUACAUAUUAUUUUCUUAAAAUAAAAAUGUAAAAUGGUAAGCUUACAUAUGUUUAAUGUAGUAUUUCCAUUUUUAUGUUGUAUGUUUUACAUAUAUUUAUUAUUUUUAAAAUUAUAUAUAAUGUUUUUUGUUGUUUUUAUAAAACGGUAAUGUUACAUGAUGGAGAUAAACCGUCUUUUUUUAAGUGAAAAAUAGUAAUCUUACAUAUGUUUAAUAUAGUUUUUCCAUUUUUUUAUGAUGUAUGUUUACAUAUUUUUUAUAAUUUUCAAAAAUAAGUAAUAUUAAAAUGUAAAACUAUAUUUUAAGCCACGUGUCAUCUUUCGAGAUUAUAUUAUAUAUUUACUUAUUAUUUAUUUUUCUUUAUAUUGUGUAUUUUUAUUUCUUAUACUUUCUAUUUACUAAUAAUUUUAUAUUUUAAGAUUGAUUUACAUUUUAAGAUAGAUGUUUAAAUACUAAUGUACUUUUUCCAUUUUUUUAAAUUGUGUAUUUCCUUUUCUUAUACUUUCUAUUUGCGUAAUAUCUAUAUUUUACAUUUUAAGAUAGAUGUUUAAAUCUUAAUAUACUUUUUUCAUUGUUUUUAAGUUGUGUAUUUAUUUUUCUUAUAUUUUCUAUUUACUUAAUAUCUAUAUUUUACAUUUUAAGAUAGAUGUUUAAUAUUUAAUAUACUCUUUCCAUUUUUAAAAAAUUGUGCAUUUACUUAUUAUUGUAUAUAUAAUUCGUAUAUUUAUAAUAUUUACUUAUUAUUUUUUUUUAUAUAUUGAGUAUUUCUCUUUUUUAUACUUUAUAUUUAGUUAAUGUCUAUAUUUUAUAUUUUAAGAUAGAUGUUUAAAUCUUUACGUAUUUUUUUAUUUUUAAUGUAAAACGACAAUGUUUAAUAGAAGAACUUGGACAAAUAGUCAAACAUAUUUAUGUUUAUUGUAGUAUUUCCAUUUUUAUGUUGUAUGUUUUACAUAUAUUUAUUAUUUUCGAAAUUAUAUAUAAUGUUUUUUGUUUUUUUUAUAAAACGGUAAUGUUACAUUAUGGAGAUAAGCCGUCUUUUUUUUAAAGUGAAAAAUAGUAAUCUUACAUAUGUUUAAUGUCACGUGUCAUCUUUCGAGAUUAUAUUAUAUAUUUACUUAUUAUUUAUUUUUCUUUAUAUUGUGUAUUUUUAUUUCUUAUACUUUCUAUUUACUAAUAAUUUUAUAUUUUAAGAUUGAUUUACAUUUUAAGAUAGAUGUUUAAAUACUAAUGUACUUUUUCCAUUUUUUUAAAUUGUGUAUUUCCUUUUCUUAUACUUUCUAUUUGCGUAAUAUCUAUAUUUUACAUUUUAAGAUAGAUGUUUAAAUCUUAAUAUACUUUUUUCAUUGUUUUUAAGUUGUUUAUUUCUUUUUCUUAUAUUUUCUAUUUACUUAAUAUCUAUAUUUUACAUUUUAAGAUAGAUGUUUAAUAUUUAAUAUACUCUUUUCAUUUUUUAAAAAUUGUGCAUUUACUUAUUAUUGUAUAUAUAAUUCGUAUAUUUAUAUAUUUAUAAUAUUUACUUAUUAUUUUUUUAUAUAUUGAGUAUUUCUCUUUUUUAUACUUUAUAUUUAGUUAAUGUCUAUAUUUUAUAUUUUAAGAUAGAUGUUUAAAUUUUUACGUAUUUUUCUAUUUUUAAUGUAAAACGGCAAUGUUUAAUAGAAGAACUUGGAAAAAUAGUCAAACAUAUUUAUGUUUAUUGUAGUAUUUUCAUUUUUAUGUUGUAUGUUUUACAUAUAAUUAUUAUUUUCGAAAUUAUAUAUAAUGUUUUUUGUUUUUUUUUUAAUAAAACGGUAGUGUUACAUUAUGGAGAUAAGCCAUCUUUUUUUUAAGUGAAAAAUAGUAAUCUUACAUAUGUUUAAUGUAGUUUUUCAUUUUUUUAAUGCUGUAUGUUUACAUAUUUUUUACAAUUUUCGAAAAUAAUUAAUAUUAAAAUGUAAAACUAUAUUUCAUGCCACGUGUCAUCUUUCGGGAGAAAUUUUUUCCGCUGAUGUGGACGUCCUAUGGAGCCUCAAAAGCUCCCUUUUAUUAGUAGAGAUUUUUGGGUUUCGAUAUUUUGGGUAUUAGGUAUGUCGGAUCUAGGAAAUUUUGUACCGAUUAGAUUGUUUAGAAUUUUGGAUCGUAUCGGUUUGGUACUCGGAUCAGUUCCAUUUGUUAAAAUUUAAAUCUAUAGAAAAUUACUGACUUUAUCCAAAAUUACUAGUUCGGAUUCGGUUUUUUUAUAUCCAAUUUUUUUUUCAAAAAUAACAAAAAUAUCUUCAAAUAAAUGAAAAUAUGUGCUACCUAAAAAUUAAAUAAUAUAUUCAAAUUUAUAACUAUUAUUUUAAAUAUUUGAAUUAUUAUAAAUAUUAACAUAACUAAUAUUUCUAGAUAUAUUCUAUCCGUUUCAUAAUUGAUGAUGUUUUAGAAGAUUUUUGGUGUUUCAAAAUAUAUGAUGUUUUGAUAUUUUUAUGUUAUUUUUAACUCUAUUGAAAACUGUGUAACCAAUUAGAUGUUGUAAUCAUUUUUGUAACUGGUUGGAUGAUUUUUAAAUUAUAUUUUGAAACUACUUUUUAAGAGAAAAGUAAAUUUCUUAAUCUUUGUGCAUUAAAGAAUAACAUCAUGUAUUGUGAAACAGAGGGAGUAUAUGUUUACAUUUCGGAUAUUUUUGGAUAUAUGUAAUUUUCGGGUUCAGUUCAUGCUAGGGUUUGAUUUUUCAGAUAUAGAAAAUUAUGUAUCGUUCGGAUAUUUAUGUCGAAACAGGUUGGUUUGAAUUUCGGAUCCGUUAAGUCUAGAAAUUACUUAUUAAUAUAUUAUGUUUCAUUUAAGUUUAAUUAUUAUACUUUUUACUAUGUCUAAAUUUUAGUUCUCGACGAUGUUGCUCUGCUUGAUCGGAUGGUGGAAAAUGGUCAUCCACCUGACCUUGUCACUUACAGAACAAUUGUAAACAGAUUGUGUAAGAUAUUAUACAGUGCCGCCAUGACGUCAUAGCGAUGCUCAAAAUCUUUUCAGUGAAAUGCACGAGAAAGGAAUCGUUCCGGAUGUAAUCACCUACAGUUGUAUGAUAUAUGGUUUUUGUAUCUCUGGUAGAUGGAGUGAUGGCGAGCGGUUGUUGCGCGAAAUGGUAGAAACAGAUAUCAAUCCCAAUGUUGUAAAACACAUUGAUCAAUGCAUUGGUCAAAGGAGGCAAGUUCAUUGUGCCGACGAACUAUACAGUGAGAUGCUCCACAUGGGUGUAUAUCCUAAUACAGUCACAUAUAAUUCAAUGAUCGAUGGACUAUGCAGACAGAACCGCUUAGAUGAGGCAAAACGUACAUUCGAUUCGAUGGGUAGUAAAGGCUGCUCUCCAAAAGUAGUGACCUUCACUACACUCAUUAAUGGCUAUUGUAAGGCUGGGAAGGUUGACGAUGGGAUGGAGCUUGCCCACGAGAUGUACCAAAGAGGAAUAGUUGCUGAUGAAGUUACUUACAAAACUUUGAUUUAUGGGUUUCGUCAUGUGGGUCAUUGAAGCCCUAGACAUUUUCCAGGAGAUGAUUUCCAGUGGUAUAUGUCCUGAUACCAUUACUAUCCGGAAUAUGCUGAUUGAUUUAUGGAGUAAGGAGGAACUUAAAAUGGCUGUGACAAUGUUUUAGUAUCUCCAGAAGAGUAUGGUAUGUCCUCCUCAACACAUAUUUUUUUCAAUUUCUUUGCUUACCUUUCGUGUGUUUGGAGAAGAAUGUAAACAUAUCCAGGAAAGUUUGCUACCAAAUUUCCAAUUUCAGCUGAAAAAUACAGAAUCCUUAUUAACCCGCUGAUUGGUUGGGUGUGCUUGUUUUGCAGCGUUAAUAAUUACAGGAUGAAUGAAGAACAAAUGUUUUUAUGUCUUUGGCAGCAAAGCUUCAGUGCCAUUUAAUUUUUGUUGGAUCUGUUCCUUACUAAUUUUUUAUCAGAUUACAAAAUAUUGAAAUUUCUUUAAGCCUGGUGAUUUUGAAUUUUAUUUUUAUUUUUUUAUUUUCAUUUUUUAUUUUAUAGUUUUUUGAGUAUUUUUUUAUUUUUCUAAUGGCUUUAUCACCAAAGUAGUAAUGAUUUAUGCAUAUAUAUGUGGAUUGGCGUUUGCUAAUCAAAAUACCAAAAUAGAUAAUACAAUAUAUCAAAUUUUACAAAUGUUACCUGGAGAUGUGCACAUGCCUACAUGUUUAUAUGUGUACAUGAUUACAUUUGUACAUGUGUACUUUUUUUAUGUGUACAUAUAUAUAUUAUUAAAAAAUAAAUAGGCGGAUAGUGUUAAAAUAAUUAUUUGUGGAUUGAUUUAUAUGUGAAUAGUGAAAACGUACUCGUCUAUAUACUCUUUGAGAUACACAUCCACACAAAAAUUAUAAAAUGAUCUGAAAAAUUCAUCAAGAAUUUGAGACUAAUUACAACAUUUCAUUUUGACUAGCUCACUUAUUACUAACUAUUGUUUUCCAGUGAACUUCCGACGGACAAUGCUGUUGGAAAAUUUCCUCGAAAAUUUCUAACAAAAAGCAUUGGUCUGGAUUUCCAUGUGUUCAUAUGUACAUAUUUACAUGUGUGCAUGGUGUACAUGUACAUAUUAUUAAAGAAACGUACAUUUCGUUUGUAAUGUACAAAUGCAACAUGAUUAUACACAUUACAUUUGAGAAGUUUCAAAUCACAUUUGAGAAGUUUAAAAUCAUAACACAAAAUAUCAGAAAACACAAAAGAUGAAAGUGAUGUACAUAACAUAUAGGUGAUUUUAAUGGUUUUCACAAACAUCUAAAUGUACACUUAAUUAAUAAACAUCUACAUGUACAUUUAGAAUGUACACAUGUAUUCGAUUUUUUUAAUAAUUAAUUUAUUAAUGACAUCAUUAUAAUUAUGUCAUCUUCUUCCCGAGUCCCUUAGGGUUACAAAUUUUACAAGAAAUUUGAGGAUUUUUAACUCAUUGGUAGGAACAAAAUGAAAGACAGCUUAAAAACAUUUAACUUGGUCUUAUUGCUCUUGAUUUCAUGUUGAUUUGUUAGCUGCGAUUUGUCGGCGGUAAAAUGAAACAAAAUGAAGAAGGAAAACAUAUGCAUGACAGCACGAUAAACGUUUCUGUGACCGGAGCUUGAGGGUGACGACGAGUGCAGCGGCUCAGGCAAAGAAGCUUACUGUGGUCAGGGUUACCCGCAUUCGAGCUCGUGACUCAAUCAUAUUCGCGACAGAGAGUUUUGAUGAGGGUUGGGAUAGUUUUGACGGUAAUUGAAAUUCAUAAAGGAAAGAGAGAGAGAAUAAAUCUUGACCAUUCAGUAUGUAAUUAAAUCAAUGGUUUAUAGCAAUUCAAGUGACUUUAUUAAUUGAUGCUAGUUUUUCUUUUUCUUUUUUAACGUUGGGAACACAUUACAUCAUCAUAUAAUCACUAGAUCUAUUACAUAUGAUGAUCAACUACCUGCAACAUAUGUGAUAUUGAUGAAUAGCUCCACGAAUAAUGAUUCCACGAUGAAGCUCUUCCCGAAACACUUGAAACCACAGACGGUUUUGCAUGUACGACAUCCUCGAUAGACAGGUUCUCACCGCAACAAGCGACCACAACGAACGGCUCUGUUUACAGUACUCUGGAACCUCCGAAAGCUUUGCAUCCUAUAAUCUACAAGAAAUUGCAUAGUAUGGGAUUCAAACCCCAUACCUAGGUGUAGAAGCCUUUUAACCAAUAGGCUAGGGUGCUUCCACAAUUGAUGCUAGUUUAGUUAGAUAUAUUUUCUAAAAGGAUGUAACUGGAUCAGUUAGGAGACAAGGAAAAAGUUAAGAAAAAGUGUCAUGAGGAGUACAUAGUGCUUUAGAGUGUAAAGAAGUAGAUGUGAUGUGACCUAUUGUGUAAAGGGUAAUUCUCCUAAAUAGACUAUUUUUAAGUUUUGAUCACAAAAAUAUACUACAAUGAGGAAAAUGACCAAAAUGUUUCAUUUAAUAGGUAAAAGGAACCUAAUACUCUAGAUAUAAAAAAAAUUAAAAAAUUAAAAAUAAAAUAAAAUAAAAAUAAAUAAACUUUUUUUAUAGUUUUAGAUUAUAUGUUUUCAAAUUCGAAUUUUUUUAUAAUUUUUGUUACAUAAAUUUUUUUUUCAAAAUUUUUAUUUUAUUUUUUUUUUCAAAUUUUGUUUUUGUAAUUUGAAAAUACUAUUUGAAACUAUUUUUAAAAUUUUUAUUAUAAAAUUUUUAAUAUUUAUUUUUUAUUUUAUAAAAUUUUAAAUCUCAAUCCCAAAUCUCCACCCCUCAGCUCUAAACCUUAAGAGUUAGAUUAGUUAACUUUAAUGAUAUAUAUGUAUAUUUACUUCUUUAAUAAAAUAUUUUGGUUAUUUUGAUAUUUAUGGUCUAUAUUUGUGACAUAAUUUUUUUUAGUGCUAUUUUAGGCUAUUUCCCGAUUGGUUAUAUUCGGUUUGAUAAAAAGUACAAAACCAACCCUAACUAAGUGUUCUUCAUUUCAAUUGAUUCCUUGUCUUAACCAGCGACUCAUCGCGCACUCUUUUAACUCCCAGUCUUCUGAUUCUAAACUUGUAUUCUUGCAAGAGAAGAUGGAUCGUAUCGGAAGUCUACCCGAAGAGGUUCUUUCUCAUAUACUGUCUUUCCUGACGACAAAGGAAGCUGCUAUAACCUCGAUUCUCUCCAAAAGAUGGCGCAAUCUCUUUACACUCGUCCCUAGCCUCGACAUUGACGACUCUGUGUUUCUUAACCCGGAAGAGGGUAAGCGGGAACGAGAUGGUAUCCUCCAAAGCUUCAUGGAUUUCGUGGAUAAGGUUUUGGCUUCGCAGGGCGAUACUCCCAUCAAGAAAUUCUCCUUGAAAUGCAAAACUGGCAUCGACACAGAUCGUGUGAAUCAAUGGAUAUGUAAUGUCCUCCAACGUGGCGCUACAAGCCUUGAACUUGUCCUCGAUUUUCCUGGAUCAGACGACAAUUGGGAUUCCGAUUAUAUGUAUCUUCUGCCUAGAGAGCUGUUCGUUAGUAGCAAACUGGUGGAGCUGAAAUUAAGAAGCGAGUUUGGUGUUGAUUGGUGGCGUGGAGGUACGGACACUUUCUUACCAAUGCUUAAGACUCUCCGCUUUGAAUCUACGUGGAUUCUGUUGUGUGAUGAUCUCGAGGUGUUUCUCUCUGCUUUCCCUGUUCUCGAGGAGUUCUACAUGGCUGAUAUCGAGUGGCCUCAAUCGGACCAAUCCGCGUCGAGUCAGAGCCUCAGGAAGUUAACUAUCCAUGCCGGCGGUUUCCAAGAUUUUCGAAAUCCGAAGAGGAUUUCGUUUGAUAGUCCGAGUCUCGUUUACCUUGAGUAUUCUGAUUUUGUUGCCGCGGAUUAUCCGAAAGUUAACUUGCCCAAUCUAGCCGAGGCUGUGCUCGACCUUAAGGUGACUCUACAUCAGAUUGACUUAAUACGAGAACCAGAUGAUGAAAAUGUUGUUUCUCUACGUCUUCGGAAUGUGUGGAAGCUCAUAAGAGGGUUAAGAAAUGUUAAUAAACUUUUCAUUUCUGCUGAGACUCUUGAGGUCAGUUGUUAUUCAUCUGAAACAUCAAAUGUUUUUUGAAACAAAUGUUAAUGUUGGGACUUAGGAUGGGUUUUUGUCUUGUUUUUCAGGCACUGUCUCUAUGCUGUGAGUCGAUGCCGGUGUUCAACAACCUCAAAUCUCUACAUAUUAUUUGUGAAGCGGAUCUGGGAUGGCAAGCGAUGCCGGCUCUCUUAAGGAACUGUCCACGUUUAGAAACUCUAAUCCUCAAGGUAUACGCCCAAAACAUUGUACAAUGGUACUUAGAGUUCCUUUAUUGACUCGCUUCCUCUUUCAAGGGUCUCUUACACCAUGUGACUGACAAGUGCGGGGAUGCUUGCGACUGCAUAUCUCGGGAGGACAAAGGUCGUUCACUAUCAUCAUGUCCAGUGAAGAAGCUGGAGAUCAGAGGGUUUCAAGGAACAGUUAGAGAGAAAGAGAUGAUAAGGCAUUUCUUGGAGUCUUUCCCUUGUUUGGAUGAGAUGGAAGUAUAUGCCGACCAGAGUGAUAAUGAUCCUACAAACGUUGAAGUAAAUAGAAUUUAUAAAAUCAUUGCAUACAAGGUCCACGGGAAGGAGAUUUCUACUCAUACUGUGCUACAGUCGAAGGGUAUGUCCCAAAGCCAGAUGGAGGAGAUCUCCUCUCAGGUAUAUUUAAUUACAUUAAAGAAAACCAUUACGGUUUUGAGUUAACUAAUCAGUCCUUUUCUUGUUUUCUGCAGUUUACACCCCGCAAUAACAGAAAUAAGUAUGGUAUGGUUUACAUCUUGCAUGGAACUCAUCCUCCACCGCAGGAGAUCUCUCAGUACUACAUUAAGGAGCUGCUUAAUGAGGAAUAUAAGGAGAGGCAACGAGUCCAUGAUGCUAUGUUUGAUGGAAUUGUUGAGCAGUACCCGAUGAUAGCAUCGGCAUUGAAGGCUCGACAAGCUGCAACAGACUCAGAGGCGUCUAACGAUCAGGAGAAGAAGCGGGACGUCGAGGCUCUGUUGGAAAUCAUGGGGGACCUGUAUCCAGAUUUUGCAUCAGCGCUGAAGGCUAUGCGUGGGACUGCCUUAGAGCGAGGGGAGCCGUCGAGGGAUCAGGGGGAGAUGGCCGAGCUCGACCAACCUACGUCCACAGCUGUGGCAGCAGAUCUCUUGCCACGAGAUGGAGACUAGAUUUAUGAUUGUGCUUUUAUUUUCCCGUAAAACUUGCAUAUUACAAAUUACUAGGGAUUAACCCGGGCUACGCCCGAGAUUUUUUAUUUUUUUCUAAUUUAAGCUGUUAAAUCAUUUAUAUUUAGGUUAUGAUAUAUAUUUAUAUAAAUGUUAAGAUGCAUGUCAUAAUUAAAAUUUGUUUUUGAAUUUUAACACGUUAAAUUAACAUAUUUUUUACUAUUUAAAUUUUUUUUUAAUUUUGUUGGCUAUCUAGUUAUCAUAUUUAGCAAAACUAUAUGUUGAGUGUUGGAAUAAAUGUUUUAGAUAUUUAAUUAAACUGCAGAGUAUUUUUGGAUCGACCACAUGCUCAACAAUCGAUUGAUCCGUAAAAAGAUGGUCGAUCUCCUUGGCCAGGUAAGUACAAUUUUAGCAAAAAUAUCUUUGAUUUUCAAAUAUUAAGUAUAUAACUAUUCUUUUGAAUAUUGUUUAUGUAAAUAUUUUUUGUGAUGUUUGAAUUUGUGAUGUUCGUAUAUUGAUGAUAUUGAUGUUUAACAAUUUAUUGUUUUCUGGAAAUAGAAAAUAAUGAUAUAUCAAAACGUAUAUAAUACUUGUUAAAUGAUAGUAUAAUGUAAAUUACAUCCAUUAUUUGAAAAUAACCAUUUGUUGUUUUUAUUUUUUUUUAAAUCAGAAAUUAUUUUUAUUUAAAAACAUUAUUCAUAUAUAAUAUAAUAGUUUAAGUUUGGAAGAUUAAUCUAUAUAUAUAAAUUAUGUAUAUUUUUAAAAAAAUAAUUUAAGAUAUUAUAUAUUGAGUAACUGAAUAAAAGCUGAAUUUCUUAUCUUGAAAAUCAAAUAUUUAUAUUUUUGUCUUCACGUUAUACUCACCAAUCCAUUAUUGAUAUUUAUAUCUCUGUAUGUUUUUUUAAAAAACUUAGUUUUAAGUAAUAAACGAAUUCAUCACCUAUAAUGUUCUGUAAACUAUAUUUGAAAACUCUCUAAAAUUAUAUUUUAAGCUUAAUAUUACAAUUAUUUAAUUUAAUUUAUUUUAAGCAUAAUAUAUGCUAAACCAACUUAAAUUAUAUUUACAAUAUGAUCAUCCUAAACCAGUUAAUAAACCAAAAACAAUACUAAACCAACAUGAACCAAUACCUGAUUCGGCGAGGAAGGAAGUGUUUCGGGAUAAACGCUUAAAUGAAUGUUAACAAUAUAAUUAUAGAUUAGAUUACUUUAAAUUUGUAAGAAUACUUUUGAGUCUAUGAAAAGCAAUUCAAUUCUCAUGAAUAAGUUUGGCUUUUGGAAGUUGCGGGUUUUCCAACAAUGAAUCCACCUAAUAAAAAGUUUGUUGUUAUAAGAAAUCACUUUCAAGGUCAUUAAAGGUUUUUGGGACGGCAAGAGUUGAUGGUGGAACCAUUUUUUUGCUCGAGUGAUUUGAAGCUUUCCUUGAUAGUGUGAGGUUGAUGUUGAUGGAAUAAUGAGUUUUAUAGGAACUUUCUUGAUGUAAAACUAUACAUUUUUUUUUGUUUAAUGUGGUAUUUCCAUUUUUAUAUAAUUUACUACCAUUUUAAGAUAGAUGUACAUUUUAAGAUAGAUGCUUAAAUCUUAAUGUAUUUUUUCUAUUUUUUAAAAUGUUUAUUUCCAUUUCUUAUAUGUUUUUUACGUAAUAUCUAUAUUUUAUAUUUUAAAAUAUAUAUUUAAAUCUUAAUGUACUUUUUCCAUUUUUUUCAAAUUGUGUAUUUACUUAUAUUAUAUAUUUUACAUUUUAAGAUAGAUGUUUAAUGCUUAAUGAACUUUUUCCAUUCUUUUAAAAAAGUUGUGUAUUUACUUAUUAUUAUAUAGAUAAUUCAUAUAUUAUAUAUUUAAUGCUUAAUGUUUAUUUCCAUUUCAUGACUUUUUAUUUACUUAAUAUCUCUAUUUUAAAUUUUAAGAUAGAUGUUUAAAUCCUAAUGUACGUUUUCCUUUUUUUUAAAUUGUAUAUUUCCAUUUGUGAUACUUUCUAUUUACGUAAUAUCUAUAUUUUAAAUUUUAAGAUAUAUUUUUAAAUCUUAAUGUAAUUUUCCAUUUUUUAAAUUGGGUAUUUACUUAUAUUAUAUAUUUACUUAUGAUUUAUUUUUCUUUAUAUUGUGUAUUUCUAUUUCUUAUACUUUCUAUUUACUAAUAAUUUUAUAUUUUAAGAUAGAUUUACAUUUUAAGAUAGAUAUUUAAAUACUAAUGUACUUUUUCCAUUUUUUAAAUUGUGUAUUUCUUUUUCUUAUACUUUCUAUUUGGGUAAUAUCUAUAUUUUACAUUUUAAGAUAGAUGUUUAAAUCUUAAUAUACUUUUUCCAUUGUUUUUAAGUUGUGUAUUUCUUUUUCUUAUACUUUAUAUUUACUUAAUAUCUAUAUUUUACAUUUUAAGAUAGAUGUUUAAUAUUUAAUGUACUCUUUCCAUUUUUUUAAAAAUUGUGCAUUUACUUAUUAUUGUAUAUAUUAUUCGUAUAUUUAUAUAUUUAUAAUAUUUACUUAUUAUUUAUUUUUCUAUAUAUUGAGUAUUUCUCUUUCUUAUACUUUAUAUUUAGUUAAUAUCGAUAUUUUAUAUUUUAAGAUAGAUGUUUAAAUCUUAAUGUAUUUUUCCAUUUUUAAUGUAAAACGGCAAUGUUUAAUAGAACAACUUGGACCAAUAGUCAAAUAGUUAUAUUUAUGUUUUUUUCUUUUUUAUAUAAAAUGGUAAUGUUACAUUAUGAAGAUAAGCCAUUUUUUUUAGUGAAAAUUGUAAUCUUACAUAUGUUUAAUGUAGUUUUUCCAUUUUUUUUAUGUUGUAUGUUUACAUAUUAUUGUUAUUUUUAAAUGUAAAAUGGUAAUCUUACAUAUGCUUAAUGUAGUAUUUCCAUUUUUUAUGUUGUAUGUUUACAUAUUAUUUAUUAUUUUCUAAAUUAUAUAUAUAAUGUUUUUUUUUUACAAAAUAGUAAUGUUACAUUAUGGAGAUAAACCGUCUUUUCUUUAGUGAAAAAUGGUAAUCUUACAUAUGUUUAAUGUAGUUUUUCCAUUUUUAUGUUGUAUGUUUACAUAUUAUUUUUUUAAAUAAAAAUGUAAAAUGGUAAUCUUACAUAUGUUUAAUGUAGUAUUUCCAUUUUUUAUGUUGUAUUUUUACAUAUAUUUAUUAUUUUCAAAAUUAUAUAUAAUGUUUUUUGUUUUUUUUUAUAAAACGGUAUUAUUACAUUAUGAAGAUAAGCCGUCUUUUUUUAAGUGAAAGAUGGUAAUCUUACAUAUUUUUAAUAUAGUUUUUCUAUUUUUAUGCUGUAUGUUUACAUAUUAUUUAUAAUUUUUGAAAAUUGGUAAUAUUAAAAUGUAAAACUAUAUUUUAUGCCACGUGUCAUCUUUCGGGAGAAGUUUUUUUGCUGAUGUGGACGCUCUAUGGAGCUUCAAAAGGUCCAUUUUAUUAGUAUAGAUUAGUAAUAUUAAAAUGUAAUGUCACGUGUCAUCUUUAGGGAGAAGUUUUUUUCGCUGAUGUGGACGCUCUAUGGAGUCUCAAAAGGUCCCUUUUAUUAGUAAGGAUUUUUGGGUUUCGAUAUUUUGGGUAUUAGGUAUGUCGGAUCUAGGAAAUUUGGUACCGAUUAGAUUGUUUAGAAUUUUGGAUCGUAUCGGUUUGGUACCUAUAGAAAAUUUAGUUCCAUUUGUUAAAAUUUAAAUCUAUAGAAAAUUACUGACUUUAUCCAAAAUUACUAGUUCGGAUUCGGUUUUUUUAUAUCCAAUUUUUUUUUCAAAAAUAACAAAAAUAUCUUCAAAUAAAUGAAAAUAUGUGCUACCUAAAAAUUAAAUAAUAUAUUCAAAUUUAUAACUAUUAUUUUAAAUAUUUGAAUUAUUAUAAAUAUUAACAUAACUAAUAUUUCUAGAUAUAUUCUAUCCGUUUCAUAAUUGAUGAUGUUUUAGAAGAUUUUUGGUGUUUCAAAAUAUAUGAUGUUUUGAUAUUUUUAUGUUAUUUUUAACUCUAUUGAAAACUGUGUAACCAAUUAGAUGUUGUAAUCAUUUUUGUAACUGGUUGGAUGAUUUUUAAAUUAUAUUUUGAAACUACUUUUUAAGAGAAAAGUAAAUUUCUUAAUCUUUGUGCAUUAAAGAAUAACAUCAUGUAUUGUGAAACAGAGGGAGUAUAUGUUUACAUUUCGGAUAUUUUUGGAUAUAUGUAAUUUUCGGGUUCAGUUCAUGCUAGGGUUUGAUUUUUCAGAUAUAGAAAAUUAUGUAUCGUUCGGAUAUUUAUGUCGAAACAGGUUGGUUUGAAUUUCGGAUCCGUUAAGUCUAGAAAUUACUUAUUAAUAUAUUAUGUUUCAUUUAAGUUUAAUUAUUAUACUUUUUACUAUGUCUAAAUUUUAGUUCUCGACGAUGUUGCUCUGCUUGAUCGGAUGGUGGAAAAUGGUCAUCCACCUGACCUUGUCACUUACAGAACAAUUGUAAACAGAUUGUGUAAGAUAUUAUACAGUGCCGCCAUGACGUCAUAGCGAUGCUCAAAAUCUUUUCAGUGAAAUGCACGAGAAAGGAAUCGUUCCGGAUGUAAUCACCUACAGUUGUAUGAUAUAUGGUUUUUGUAUCUCUGGUAGAUGGAGUGAUGGCGAGCGGUUGUUGCGCGAAAUGGUAGAAACAGAUAUCAAUCCCAAUGUUGUAAAACACAUUGAUCAAUGCAUUGGUCAAAGGAGGCAAGUUCAUUGUGCCGACGAACUAUACAGUGAGAUGCUCCACAUGGGUGUAUAUCCUAAUACAGUCACAUAUAAUUCAAUGAUCGAUGGACUAUGCAGACAGAACCGCUUAGAUGAGGCAAAACGUACAUUCGAUUCGAUGGGUAGUAAAGGCUGCUCUCCAAAAGUAGUGACCUUCACUACACUCAUUAAUGGCUAUUGUAAGGCUGGGAAGGUUGACGAUGGGAUGGAGCUUGCCCACGAGAUGUACCAAAGAGGAAUAGUUGCUGAUGAAGUUACUUACAAAACUUUGAUUUAUGGGUUUCGUCAUGUGGGUCAUUGAAGCCCUAGACAUUUUCCAGGAGAUGAUUUCCAGUGGUAUAUGUCCUGAUACCAUUACUAUCCGGAAUAUGCUGAUUGAUUUAUGGAGUAAGGAGGAACUUAAAAUGGCUGUGACAAUGUUUUAGUAUCUCCAGAAGAGUAUGGUAUGUCCUCCUCAACACAUAUUUUUUUCAAUUUCUUUGCUUACCUUUCGUGUGUUUGGAGAAGAAUGUAAACAUAUCCAGGAAAGUUUGCUACCAAAUUUCCAAUUUCAGCUGAAAAAUACAGAAUCCUUAUUAACCCGCUGAUUGGUUGGGUGUGCUUGUUUUGCAGCGUUAAUAAUUACAGGAUGAAUGAAGAACAAAUGUUUUUAUGUCUUUGGCUGCAGAAUCAGAGGCGUGUAACGAUCAGGAGAAGAAGCGGGACUUCGAGGCUCUGUUGGAAAUCAUGACGGACCUGUAUCCAGAUUUUGCAUCAGCGCUGAAGGCUAUGCGUGGGACUGACUUAGAGCGAGGGGAGCCGUCGAGGGAUCAGGGUGAGAUGGCCGAGCUCGGCCAAACUACGCCCACAGAUAUGGCAGCAGAUCUUUUGCCACGAGAUGGAGA
rnacentral:lncRNA from 1 species